rnacentral:rRNA from 1 species
UACAGAGGAGCCAAGCGUUGUCCGGAUUGACUGGGCGUAAAGCGCACGCGGGCGGGGGUGCGCGUGGGGUGUGAAAUCUGGCCGCUUAACGGCCAGGCGCCAUCCCAUACGGCACGCCUGGAGCCUUGCAGAGGUCGGUGGAAUUGCCGGUGUAGUGGUGAAAUGCGUAGAGAUCGGCAGGAACACCCAGGGGGAAACCAGCCGACUGGGCAAGUGCUGACGCUGAGGUGCGAGAGCGUGGGGAGCGAACCGG